UACGAAGGGGGCUAGCGUUGCUCGGAAUCACUGGGCGUAAAGGGCGCGUAGGCGGGUUGGCAAGUCUGCUGUGAAAGCCCGGAGCUUAACUCCGGAGGGUCGGUGGAUACUGCCAGUCUUGGAGGUGCCAGGGGGAGAUGGAAUUACCGGUGUAGCGGUGAAAUGCGUAGAUAUCGGUAGGAACACCAGUGGCGAAGGCGGUCUCCUGGAGCAUUCUUGACGCUGAGGCGCGAAAGCUGGGGGAGCGAACGGG
rnacentral:rRNA from 1 species